rnacentral:lncRNA from 1 species
GAUUAAACUUAAACCCUCAGAUUGAUAUGAGGGUUACACUCUCUUCCCUGAUUUUUUUGUUUGUUUUCUUUACAGUUUUUGCCUACCUUUGUUGGGCUCUGAGGUUUUGGUCUCACACCUCCCCUUUUCCUUCCACCAUCCCUCUGAGUUUAGUUUAUUUAAGUUUUUUUUUAUAUUUUAUUUAAUCCAUUUUAGUUAAUUUAUUUUUAAUUCAAGGCUUUAG